rnacentral:pre_miRNA from 1 species
GCCCUCUGUCACCUUGCAGACGGCUUUCUCUCCGAAUGUCUGCAAGUGUCAGAGGCGAGG